GCAAUAACAAUGCCAAAGAGAUUAAAUACAUUGCAUAUUAUACAACUCUGAAGAUCAAGUCAGAGAUCAUGAUAAACUCCAAGACAAUUUAUUUCACAACAAUCUCAUCACAAUAGCAAAUUUCCCCCAAAUAAAUAACCAAACUUUAGCUCAUUCCUGAAAAAGCAUAUCUAGUCAAUGGAAGAAUAUCACUUCCCUAGCUGCAAGCAUUUAUGUUAAACAGCAUUAAUCAUGGAUAAUAAAACAGUUCAAGAUUCCAGAAAAAUACAUUAGAAGUGAAAAAGAUAGAGCCAAGGAUGUGGAAAAAUACAUGCUUAUUCUGCAAAUAUUCCAAUCCUGGACUUGGCAUGGCUUUCGAAUGGGGACAAUGAAGAGCUUAAAAAUCUGCAUGAGGCCUGCAAGGAGUGGGUCUUCUUUCAGGUGAGAUUUGGAUGAAAAACAAGAAAGAAAACUGCAUAUUGAUGAGACAGAAUUGGGACAACAGCCGAUCCCACUACCAAACAUAAUGCAAGAUACAAAAAGAUCAACUAAAAAAGUAAGUUACAAGGGCACGUUUGCGCUUGUACAUAGUGUAAAAAACACCUAGUACCUAGCUCAUGUUGUAUUUUUUGUUAAAUAAUAUAUUACAAAGUUAAAUAAAAAUAAAUAUAUUUAUAUAUUUUGGUGAUGUAUCAUUAAAAGAGUUUAAUGUGUAAAUUAAAU
rnacentral:lncRNA from 1 species